rnacentral:rRNA from 1 species
UCGGGAAUUUUGGGCAGUGGGCGAAAGCCUGACCCAGCAACGCCGCGUGAGGGAUGAAGUAUUUCGGUAUGUAAACCUCGAAAGAAUGGGAAGAAUAAAUGACGGUACCAUUUAUAAGCUCCGGCUAACUACGUGCCAGCAGCCGCGGUAAUACGUAGGGAGCAAGCGUUGUUCGGAUUUACUGGGCGUAAAGGGCGCGUAGGCGGCGCGGUAAGUCACUUGUGAAAUCUCUGAGCUUAACUCAGAACGGCCAAGUGAUACUGCUGUGCUAGAGUGCGGAAGAGGCAACCUGAAUUCUUGGUGUAGCGGUGAAAUGCGUAGAUAUCAAGAGGAACACCUGAGGCGAAGGCGGGUUGCUGGGCCGACACUGACGCUGAUGCGCGAAAGCCAGGGGAGCAAACG